rnacentral:rRNA from 1 species
UAGGGAAUCUUCCACAAUGGACGAAAGUCUGAUGGAGCAACGCCGCGUGAGUGAAGAAGGGUUUCGGCUCGUAAACUCUGUUGUUAGAGAAGAACAUAUCUGAGAGUAACUGUUCAGGUAUUGACGGUAUUUAACCAGAAAGCCACGGCUAACUACGUACCAG